GUAAAUGUUCCCUCCAGCGCAUUAGGCAGUCCCAACGUCUUCAAGGCAAGGUGAGCUGCCUUCUGCCCUGAUAUCAUCAUGGCUCCAAAUGUUGGUCCCUGCAUCACCAAUACAAAACACAAAUUCAUCAGUCCUUGCCCCCCUAUAGUAUUCAAUUUAACCAAUAUCACCAUUAAAGAGGGAAAUUAAGGUUACCAUUCUCGGUGCGCCAUCAAUCUCCGCAACCUCCAUGCCAGUAACAAUCAUUCCAGGCACAAUCUCCCUUGUAAGCCUCACAAUGGCAUCUUCAGCAGUGUUCAUAUCCAGAGCUUUCAUCCCUGGGACAUUUUCAAUCAUGCCAAUGCUCUUUAGCCUUUUGACUCCAGUGGCACCAAAGGGUCCAUCAUGGCCACAAGAGCUCACGACCACCUUGGCCUCCAUCACAUUGGGGUCCAUGCAAGACUGUGUGUCAUGGUUCAUCGAAACAAGAGCCCAGUUGGUGACAACCCCACCCACUCUUCCAUUCUUCACUAUCAGGUCCUCAGCAGCCACAGCGUUGAAAAGCUUAACAUUGGGGCGGGCUAGGAGCUUGCUCAUGAUUGUGGAUGUGAACAGGGCAGCGUGCUUGAUUACUACAUAGUUGUCUGCUUCAUCGUAAUCAAUGCCUAGCUCAUCCAGGAAGAGAUGAGCAGGUUUGCGAACCACCUGGCAACGACAUAUACACCAUACAUUAAGUAGAAUUUCAAUAACAUCGUAUGCAGAAGCGAAAAUUGGCGUACAAGGGAUUUUUUUUUUCUUUUUAAUAAACAUUUACUUAAUAAAAAGAGAGAAAAAAAGGGCAUUACCAUGGCAGAG
rnacentral:lncRNA from 1 species